rnacentral:rRNA from 1 species
GUGGGGAAUAUUGGACAAUGGGCGCAAGCCUGAUCCAGCCAUGCCGCGUGCAGGAAGACGCAUCUAUGGUGCGUAAACUGCUUUUGUACGGGAAGAAACACUCCCUCGUGAGGGAGCUUGACGGUACCGUAAGAAUAAGGAUCGGCUAACUCCGUGCCAGCAGCCGCGGUAAUACGGAGGAUCCAAGCGUUAUCCGGAAUCAUUGGGUUUAAAGGGUCCGUAGGCGGUUUAAUAAGUCAGUGGUGAAAGCCCAUCGCUCAACGAUGGAACGGCCAUUGAUACUGUUAGACUUGAAUUACAAGGAAGUAACUAGAAUAUGUAGUGUAGCGGUGAAAUGCUUAGAUAUUACAUGGAAUACCAAUUGCGAAGGCAGGUUACUACUUGUGGAUUGACGCUGAUGGACGAAAGCGUGGGGAGCGAACAGGAUUAGAAACCCUAGUAGUCC